GCCAUCAGGAGGACUGAAACUGUAAACACAAGCUGGUAUUUUGGUGUGAUCACGCUAAUAUGGCGGUUUGUGAGGUCAAGGGGUGGAAGUUACAGGUAGGCAAUAUAUCUUUAACCAAAGUUGUGCUAGAUGGGGUCUUCAAGGUUAUUUGGAUUUUGAUGUACUAAGAAAAUAUCCUCAGUAGAAAAAUACCAGAAAUGGCAUUCCAACUCACCCUACCAAGGACAAGAAGCAGAUCAUUAGGAACAGAUAUAUUGGAGCUUGGCCCUGUAAAAACAUAGGAUAGCUAACAAAUACAUAAAAUUAGUUGUAUGGCCUCAUUUAUUCCUUCAUAGAGAUACAGCUCCUGGCAACCACCAUUCUACUUGAUGCCUCUAUGAAUCUGACUACUCUAGGUACCUCAGAUGAGUGGAAUUAUGCAGUAUUUGUCCUUUUGUGUGUACAACUAAUUUGACAGGCAGUAUGAUAAGGAACAAUCUGAAUGACACGUAAACAGGAGGGGGUAAAUUCCAAGCACAGCCUGAAUGAGAAGUACAACUCAUUUCCUGUAACCUAGAUGCCUUUUUAACACAUCUAUGCAGUCUCCAUGUGAAACCAGGUGCUGUUCCCAAAGGAGAAAACACUGCCCUCCAGUGGUCUUCAAUGAAGAAAUGGAAAUAGUUUCAGGUACCAUGAUAGCAGCAUUUACAUGAAACAUGGUAUAUUUAUCUAGUCUCAUUUUUGGCUGUAUUUCUUAAGCUGAAACACGUCUACAACUGAGCAUAAGGACAAAAUUUCCAAGAUAAAUUCUAAUAGGUGGAAACCAGGCUUCUUGGAAGACUUCAAACUAUGCCAAAUGGUCUGAUUUCACCAUAGAGAAGGAAUGAUCCAUGGAAAGGACUUAAUUUCUCCAUUUUCUGGAAUCGAAAUAUAAGGGCUUUUUAGUUAAAGUUCUUCCUGUAGAGUGUAUUGUUGUGUUCCAUGAAACAGACAAAACUCAGCAAGACAACAAAGACUUGAUCUGUAAGAGAAGAAUGUUAUACUAUUAAUUGCCAAUUUGCAUAUGUGUGCAGCUGCUGUUUUGGCUCUGAACUCAAUCCGAUAAGCUUGCUGGAGGUAUCGCAGAGCACUUGGCAGCUUUCCUAUUUGAAAAGAAAGCCUCUCCCCUCUACAGAACAGCUGAUCGUCUAUCAGCGAUAGACCCUGAUGGCGUGAAUUACAAUUACACUACUUUUCACACUAAAUCUGGGUGAUAGCUACUUGGAAAGAAGUUUCAUCAUUUUUUACCACAAACUGGAAAAAGAAUUACAUGGUCAUGCUGUGCUUUUAAAGGCAGUUUGGUUCACUUUUGUCUAUUUAACACCUAAUUCCAAGAAGUCCAUAGGCAUCUAGAGAUCUGAA
rnacentral:lncRNA from 1 species